rnacentral:tRNA from 1 species
GGAGAGUUGGCAGAGUGGUAAUGCAGCGGACUCGAAAUCCGCCGAACCCGUGUUGAACGGGCGCGCAGGUUCAAAUCCUGUACUCUCCU